CAGCAGCCGCGGUAAUACAGAGGGUGCGAGCGUUAAUCGGAAUUACUGGGCGUAAAGCGUGCGCAGGCGGUUAUAUAAGACAGAUGUGAAAUCCCCGGGCUCAACCUGGGAACUGCAUUUGUGACUGUAUAGCUAGAGUACGGCAGAGGGGGAUGGAAUUCCGCGUGUAGCAGUGAAAUGCGUAGAUAUGCGGAGGAACACCGAUGGCGAAGGCAAUCCCCUGGGCCUGUACUGACGCUCAUGCACGAAAGCGUGGGGAGCAAACAGGAUUAGAUACCCCAGUAGUCCCUGUCUCUUAUAA
rnacentral:rRNA from 1 species